GUGCCAGCCGCCGCGGUAAUACCGGCAGCCCGAGUGAUGACCGAUCUUAUUGGGCCUAAAGCGUCCGUAGCUGGCCGGACAAGUCCGUUGGGAAAUCCACCCGCUUAACGGGUGGGCGUCCGGUAGAAACUGACCGGCUUGGAACCGGAAGGCUCAGAGAGUACGUCCGGGGUAGGAGUGAAAUCCCGCAAUCCCGGACGGACUACCGAUGGCGAAAGCACUUUGAGAAGACGGCUUCGACAGUGGGGGACGAAAGCUCGGGUCUCAAACCGGAUUAGAAACCCCUGUAGUCC
rnacentral:rRNA from 1 species